CCUACGGGGGGCAGCAGUGAGGAAUAUUGGUCAAUGGGCGAGAGCCUGAACCAGCCAAGUCGCGUGAGGGAGUACUGCCCUAUGGGUUGUAAACCUCUUUUGUCGGGGAGCAAAAGCCGGACGUGUCCGGCUGUGAGAGUACCCGAAGAAAAAGCAUCGGCUAACUCCGUGCCAGCAGCCGCGGUAAUACGGGGGAUGCGAGCGUUAUCCGGAUUUAUUGGGUUUAAAGGGUGCGCAGGCGGAUUUUUAAGUCAGCGGUAAAAUCGUGGGGCUCAACCCCAUCCAGCCGUUGAAACUGGGGAUCUAGAGUGUGCGAGAGGUAUGCGGAAUGCGUGGUGUAGCGGUGAAAUGCAUAGAUAUCACGCAGAACCCCGAUUGCGAAGGCAGCAUACCGGUGCACAACUGACGCUCAGGCACGAAAGCGUGGGUAUCGAACAGGAUUAGAUACCCCUGUAGUC
rnacentral:rRNA from 1 species